rfam:Ancylostoma duodenale strain Zhejiang A_duodenale-1.0_Cont39122.1, whole genome shotgun sequence.
UUACCCAUUGAACUUUUCAGGUCCCACGUACCUACCUGGGUAUGUUAGUGGGCUCACUGUGUGCUCUGAUGGGUGUGCUGACCAUCGCCUUGCCUGUUCCUGUCAUUGUUUCGAAC